rnacentral:lncRNA from 1 species
AAAUCCUACUUGUCGAUCUCGCAACGGAGGCGUGGCUUGUUUUCCUUAUUUGGAAAACCGAUUCAACAGGAAGCUUGAAACCCACAUGUUUUGAACGGACGGAAUGUUUUUGUUGCAAGAGGCGAAUAAUGGCCUAUGUACCCACGGAUUUCAGCUUACAAGCCGAAUUGUACGCCAUAACUUGACUAUGAGUAAGUAUUCUGUCGUCUUUUUGCUGUUUUCUGUAGCCGACUAUCUUCAUUUUGACAAAAAUCUACCCUUGAAGUUGAAAUUCUCCCCCUUUUUUUCAUCUGUUUUAGAAAUUAUCCCUGAACCAAGGAAUUGCAUAGUAUACUAUGCCUGAACUGUCUUAAUUGCAAGUCCUUUCAUGGUCCACAGUGUUUAUGUGCAAUUUAGGUGAAGUUUUAGAAUACCCAUGAGCUGUCCAGGAAGUUUGUUAUGCUAUAGUUUCACUUGUUGAUGUAAAAAAAACUUAAGGUCUAGUUUAUUCCAUGGUUGGCCAGCUGACAGUCAAUCUGUUUGAAUUCAUGAAUCAUGGAUAUAUUUUUUUUUUGAGAGCGAGUGAUAUAAGAACAUGAGAUUGGCAAUUAUAAUAACAAGUUGCUGGUCUAAAAUAUUUGAAUCUGUAGAAGAAGACACUAGACUAAAUUUUCAACAAAGACCCCACCUCAAUAUUAUCAAAUCACAGAGUUUAUUACUUUGCAGACAAUGUGUAGGCUAGCUGCGGAACUGUAGCUCUUAGGUCCUUAUGUUAUUUUUUGACUAUUUGCGGACCUCCACAAAAUCAAAAAAAAAUUAAAAAAAGGACCAUAAGAGUUACGGUUCCGCAGCUAUGUGUAGGCAAGACACUGCCAGAUGUUCUAAAGUUAGCUAUGUCAUGUAUGUACAUGUACAAACUACAUUUUCCUCAAUUUCAAAGCUGCAUCAUGAAUGCAAGGUCAGUUUUUUUACGUUCUAAAACAACAAAAAUUCUAGAUUUUUAUUCACAUAAAGACUUGAAAGACUUAAGAGUAACUGUAUGCUGAUUGAUGUUUUAUUCUUAGGCUGCCGCAGGCCAGAUUCUUAUUUUCUAAAGAAAAUUUUGCAUAGUACGAAUACUAAUUCGUCUGCGGUGUACAAGCAAAUGUAGUACUUACUGAAUAGAAAUUCUGACAGACCUAAAAGAAGUUUUUAAAAACCUGGGCUAUUUGUCCUGUGUGUAAAUCUUAUAUAUACAAUAUAUAUACCCUUAUUUUAUUCUGUAUGCUUCAUGUUUAAGUUCUUUAAUAUGUAUAUGAAUAAAAGGAGAUGUAGGGCAUACCCGUAGCCAGGGGGGUUCGGACGAACCCCCCCCCCUUUGAAAACAAAUAAGCACUGUUAAAGUCAAUGUUCUGUUCAAAUUGUGACUGUUAAAGUUGAGUUUGUGAGUCCAACGAACCCCCCCCCCCCCCCCCCCUUGGAAAUUCCUGGUUAUGGGCCUGUAGGGUGUACAUUGUACAUUUUGUGUGUACAUAAUCAUAUAUCAUGAGACAGCUACAGAAGUUCUUUCUGUUCAACAUUUUGUACUACCAGAAUAAGGUUCAUUCUGUUGCUAUACUACAUUGUAGUUACAGUCUUUAUGAAAUAAGUAACAUGUAUAAAGGCCACACCAAUUUAAUUCCUUGUUUGACCAACCCGCCCGCACUUAUUUUUUUCAAAACAGGAUUUUUUUUUUAUAUAUAUUCCCCCUUCCCGCAUCUGGAAAUGUAAUCAUGUCCAUUUCCCGCAUCAUUUUUUGUAAAUAUUAUAAAAAGAUAUUAACACUUGUUUUCAAAUCACUGUCUUACCUGUAAAUAUUGUUUAAAACCUAUAAGCACCCGACCACACUGUAUAAAUAUCUUGUGUAAUUUUUUUUAUUAAUAAUUAAACCUAUAUACAUUGUAUCCCAAGUGGGAGUACUCCGAUAUAAAUAUAUAACAGGAAAAAAUGCCUGUACAUUGGUUUCCUUCCCCUUACUUACAAAAUAUGUUCGUUGUCAGAACUUCUAAAGAACAGUUGGCUUCAAUUGCAAAUAUAUUGUAUGCCGGCAGAACAAAACAACCCAUAUGCAUACUCCCUGCAUGUUUAUGUACCUGUCAGGAUUGAUUUGGGGGCCUGUCGUUAAGUAGUUUGUUGAUGUGGUUCAUAGCCUGUUAUUUCUCAGUUUGUAUAUAUGUUAGACUCAGAUCGACGUCCGGCCUCUAAUCGACGUCCGUUCCUCAAAUCGACGUCCGUUUCACAAAUCGACGUCCAAAUCUGACGUCACAUUAUCAAAUCGACGUCCAAUAUUUUUGAUACGCUAAUCGACGUCUAAUGUGAUGUCAAGUUUUGCCAAAACGACGUCCGAUUGAUUAUAGUCGUCUUUAAUAGAUGGCCAAUAUCAUUAAAUAGUACAUAUUUUGUAGGGUUCUUAUGACAACUAAAUUUUAAAACAUUUAUUCAUACUUUCCAUAUAGAUUUUUUUCGACCCGAAAUAGGUAAAAUGCAUAUUAUUAAAUGUUUAUCGAUCUACAUAAUAGUGUAGAAAGCAACCGAACGACAAAUAAAACAAAACGAAAUAUAGGAGCAUUAAUCAGUCUUGAAAGUUCGUCAAUAGAAAAAAUAAAAAAGUACACUGAGCCAAUUGUUUGAAAAUAUCAAAAUACGGACUCUGUAAGAUAUUUUUAAACAAAUUUCUGAGUUUUACACCUGGAGUUGGCAUUAUUCUUUUAUGUCCACACACAUGUUUAACUCCGACAUAUUCUUUAUGUGCCUCUAGUACAGUGGUCGUCGUUGGUGUAUGUCUGCCAUUUUUUUCUUUCGGAAUUGUUUUGUUAUACAUAAGACCGUCAAUUUUUCUAAUUUGAAUUGUGUACAUUAUUCAUGUCGCGGCCUUUUACAGCCUUUGAGGUAUUGGUUUUUGUUGAAAGCCGCACGGUUGCCUAUAAUUGCUCACAUCCACUUUAUUUGACUUCUUGUGUAUAGAUUGGGAACCAUACCACAUCUUCUUAUUAUUAUUUAAUCUCUACAAUUUAUAAAUUGAUAUCCCAACCUGCUUUACAUACUUAUUCUAGUAUGCAUUAAAUCAAAAAAAAAAAAAAACUUUUUUAGAUAGAUAAUAUGUUUGAAGGUCUAAAGGUUUCAGGUGCUAUCAGUUCAGAUUAAUUUGGUUGUCCGUGUCCAAAACGGACGUUGAUUAGAGAAGCUAAAAAUUAGACGUCGAUUAGAGAAGUCUAUAAAUGAACGUCGAUUAGAAAAGCAUAACAUUGGCCGUCGAUUUGAAAUGUUAUUUUAUUGUGACGUCAAAUUUGGACGUCGAUUUGAGGAACGGACGUCGAUUAGAGACCGGACGUCGAUCUGAGUCUUACAUAUAUAUUAGAUUGUUGGUUUUCCUGUUUGAAUUGUGUACUCUAGUUAUGUUGGGGUCCCUUAUGCCCUUAUAGCUUGCUGUUUAGUCUGGGUCAUAGCCCUAGCCGGUGUAAAAGGCCGAUAAAUGACUUGAAUUUGUUAUUAUCAGGUUUGGAAGAACCCUUCUUCAAGUAAGGGGUUAUUUUACUGAUUAUAGAAAAGAAAAAUAGAAUAAACCAAGGAUUUGUAUAGUGCUACUAUACAAAUCCUUGGAAAAGCUUAGAAUUUUUUACUUAAAACGAGGAAAACUACAUCAUAUUUGAAACAACUUUUCUAAAAGAGGGGUCCGCACUUUCUGAAUAAUAUAAAAGUAAAUGAUAUGUGUGGUUGAUUAAAGUCCAGAAAUAUUACAAAAUUUGUAGACAUGUUUUGACCAUUUAAUACCAGAUAGCUAUAUAGUUCUUUCAGAAAAUAUGAGGCGUUUUGUACUAAAAAGUGUUUUUUUUUUACAAAAUAUAUAUUAUAACUUAUAUGACCCCUCAUAAAAGGGAUAUUCUAUAACAUUGUGGGGUGGUUCCCAACCUGAUUAUGACUUGGAUGGAGAUUUGUCUCUUUGGCACACAUACAUAUACCACAUCUAAUUAUUCAAUUAUUUCUUGGUGUACAGGGAAAAACACUUCAUAAAUUAAAGAAAUGUCAGGGUACAAACUUGUGAUAAAUCAAGCUUUAAUAUCAUGAAUAUUGUCAAAAUCUAAUAUUUUUAUUUUAUGUUUACAAAAAAAAAUUAUAAUCGUUCGCCUUUAUUUUUCAUGCUUCACCUAAAAAAAAGCAAAUUGAAUAUUUUUUAAUAAAAAUUUUCAAAUCGCUCACUCGCCCCAAUUUUUGGAGUCCAAAAAUCCGUAAAACAAGAAACUAAAUCAUGAAUUGGUGUGGCCUAAAAAGGAAAAUUAAUAUUAUAAUUAUUCUGGGCCCACCUUUUCUGGAGGAAAUUUAUUUGUUGGCCCUUCUUAGGUAGUCAGUGCAGUGGGCCCCAACUUAUGAAAAUUUGUGGAUCCACCACUGAGAUAGCAUCACAUUCAAGAAAUACAUGUAUGUAUAGCCUCACAUGAAAACACUGAAAGACCCUGCGGAACGUGAACACUGGGUUGCUACAUGUGUAUCACAAUGCUAAUUUGGUAUAGGCUUGGAAGUUAGAACAUUCACUGUUCUGAAAUGUACCUGUAUAAUCAUUUAAAAAAAUAAGACAUAAAAUAGAUUUGUCGUUUCGGAAUCUUAUGCAUUCUGGCCAAUAUUUUAAUAUUUUCAAAAGCGUUCACCAAAAAGUUGUGAUUGGCUUAACACGUACUAAAUAUUUGAAUUCCAUCCAAUGAUGUGGCGUUAUUUUCAUUUUGGUGUACGAACAAUGAGAUUACCAUUUACCCAUAGUCCUAUAUAUAGAUUAUGGAAAAGGCGAAUUACUACCUGAACCUUUUUGUUUCAAAUUGGAGGCUGGAAACAAGCAUAUAAUUUAAAUUCGUUUUGGUUUGAAUUAAAUUAAAUUAACUAAUAUAAAAAAGAAGAUAUGGUAUAAAUGCAAAUGAGACAACUCUCCACAAGAGAACAAAAUGACACACAAAUUAACAACUAUAGGUCACGGUACGGGACUUCAACAAUGAGCAAAGACCAUACCGCAUAGUCAGCUAUAAAAGACACCGAAAUUACAAUGUAAAACAACAAUUCAACAUGUUCAAACGAGACAGGCACAAAUAUUUACAUACAUACAUAAUGUAGCGGAGUUAUUUUAAUUUUGCAAAAAGUUGUUAUUUUGAUAGUUAGUGACUAUUUUACAAAAAUGUUAGGUGGAUAUUGUUAAGUUUUUAACACAUCUCUUUUCACAGAAUUUUUGCAUGUAAGUUUGGAUUACAAUAUAAUUAGUCCUUCAUGUUUAUAUAUAUGAAAAAUAUUUUUAUCAGUAAUACUGUUAUACUGCUUACUAGAUGUUUUUUUUUUGUGUACACGAUUGUCAAUUGUUACUUUUUUUAUUACAGGUUCAAGAUGACAAUGAUGAGAACAAAAGUGCAAAAGAUAAGCCUUACAUGUACAUUGCAAUACGUGACUGCAGGAUGUAUGAACCGAAAACAUGGACAACAUGUGUUCAGGGCAACAUAACUUUUUGAAAUGGAAUAAAGAUAACUUUCCAACCAGACGUUCCACAGUGUGAUCAUGGUGAUGUCAAACAGCAUGUUAAAAAUGAUUAAAAACAAUAUAGUAAGACUCAGCUUAAAGGUGAAAGGAGGAUCCAGUUUUUGACACCCACUUUUUCUUGCCUGUUUUUUCUGGACAGAAAGAAAACCCUCCAUUUAAAUAGAAUGCAGAAAGUGACUGUUAAAUUGUAAAAUUAACAGAACCUACAGAUGGAAACAUGUGUAAAAAGAAAAACCUCAUGUAAUCUAUAAAGUAAUUCAACAUCUUGUAGCAGCCUCGUAGAGAUCGUUCCACAGCAGUUAAGGAUGACCAAAGGUGAACAGUUCUAGUUUUCAACAUGAACACAGACAUGUCACACAGAGAUUAAUCUAAACAAGUACAAUUUGAUUAAAAAGAAUUUGUGCUCAUAUACAUGUACGUUGUACAAUUUUGUACCUGUAUAGUGGAAAAAUUACAUGUGCAAUUUAUUACGAACAGAAGACCAACAUAAAAGGGCUAAAUGUUAUAGAUAUCUGUAAAUUUACAUUAUGUUCAUAAGAACAGCUGCAGUAUCAACAUUUGAACAGUAACAUCAUCCAUUAAUUUUUUGUCAAGCGUGUGUAUCAAAACAUUAAUUUGAUUAAAUAUUUCUAUUUAUGCACUGUACUUGCAUUACAAUUUCAUGAGUAAUAAGGCCAGUUUGAUUUCAGAUUUUUAUGAAAGUUCUUGGAUGUUUCAUCAUGUUCAUCACAACUAUU